rnacentral:rRNA from 1 species
GACGAACGCUGGCGGCGUGCUUAACACAUGCAAGUCGAACGGUAAGGCCCCUUCGGGGGUACACGAGUGGCGAACGGGUGAGUAACACGUGGGUGAUCUGCCCUGCACUUCGGGAUAAGCCUGGGAAACUGGGUCUAAUACCGGAUAGGACCCCUGCCUGCAUGGGCGGGGGUGGAAAGCUUUUGCGGUGUGGGAUGGGCCCGCGGCCUAUCAGCUUGUUGGUGGGGUGAUGGCCUACCAAGGCGACGACGGGUAGCCGGCCUGAGAAGGUGUCCGGACACACUGGGACUGAGAUACGGCCCAGACUCCUACGGGAGGCAGCAGUGGGGAAUAUUGCACAAUGGGCGCAAGCCUGAUGCAGCGACGCCGCGUGAGGGAUGACGGCCUUCGGGUUGUAAACCUCUUUCACCAGGGACGAAGCGCAAGUGACGGUACCUGGAGAAGAAGCCCCGGCUAACUUCGUGCCAGCAGCCGCGGUAACAC